UACGUAGGGGGCAAGCGUUGUCCGGAUUUAUUGGGCGUAAAGAGCGUGUAGGCGGCUUUACAGGUCCGUUGUGAAAACUCGAGGCUCAACCUCGAGACGCCGAUGGAAACCAUGUGGCUAGAGUCCGGAAGAGGAGAGUGGAAUUCCUGGUGUAGCGGUGAAAUGCGCAGAUAUCAGGAAGAACACCCGUGGCUAAGGCGGCUCUCUAGUACGGUACUGAUGCUGAGACGCGAAAGCGUGGGGAGCAAGCAGG
rnacentral:rRNA from 1 species